ACCAAAAAGCGGAGUGACCUUCCUCCGCUCUCAGUCUGAGACGGGCAGCACUGAAGCAAGAAUCCGGUCGCAGCUCCGACAGUCCCCCGCUUUAGCCUCAGCAAUGAACAACAACUUAGUCGGAGAUGAAGUCGGGAAACUUUUUGUGGGAGGAUUGGACUGGAGUACCACACAAGAGACACUUAGAAACUACUUCUCACAGUAUGGGGAAGUAGUAGAUUGUGUCAUAAUGAAGGACAAAACUACAAAUCAGUCGCGAGGCUUUGGCUUUGUCAAAUUCAAAGACCCCAAUUGUGUACGGACAGUGCUGGAGACAAAGCCGCAUAAUCUUGAUGGAAGAAAUAUUGACCCGAAGCCAUGCACUCCCAGAGGAAUGCAACCUGAAAAGUCUCGAACCAAGGAGGGCUGGAAGGGCAGCAAAGCCGAUAGCAAUAAAUCAAAGAAGAUAUUUGUAGGUGGAAUCCCCCAUAACUGCGGCGAGCCUGAACUCAGGGACUAUUUCAAUAGAUUCGGAGUGGUCACAGAGGUGGUAAUGAUCUAUGAUGCGGAGAAGCAGAGGCCCCGAGGUUUUGGAUUUAUUACUUUCGAGGCCGAACAAUCAGUGGACCAGGCUGUCAACAUGCAUUUUCACGACAUCAUGGGCAAAAAAGUGGAAGUGAAGAAGGCUGAACCCCGUGACAGCAAAGCUCCUGGCCAGCUUGGCCCUGGCCAGUGGGCUCCAAGGGGCAUCUUGAGUGCAGCUAAUGGUUGGACGGCACAGCCUGCCCAGGGCUGGCAACAGCCUUACGGGGCACAGGGAGUGUGGGUGUCGACUACCGGCCAACCGAUAGAUCUGUUCUGUAUUGGAGCAGGCGGGUAUGGACCUCAGUUGACAGCCAGUCGUGGAACCCCCACACAGCCUCCGUCACCUUUCAACGCAUUCCUGGUCACGACCCCAGCGGGUGGCUUCGCUGCACCUCAGGGCUACCCUCAGCAGGCCUACAGCACAGCACCUCAGUAUGGUUACAGUUUCGGCACACCCCAAGCAGACCAGUAUGCUCCACAGGUUCCUCCUCCGCCCACCACUCCAGGAACUGCACCUCUGGGUUUUGCCCCUGCCACCACACCAACUCAGGACUUGAGCAAAGCUCCCACUGGGCAGCCUGACUUCCCUUAUAGCCAGUAUGGACGAAGCUGAGCAGUGAGGCCUCUCAGAGCAUAGUGCAGACGCAGUAAGUGAGUAUAAGUGUGCAGCUCUGUUAGGCCAGCGAGGGGGGGGGACUAUGUAGUUGGCCAGCAGUAUCUGGGUUCAGUCAACCUGGUCUCCUCAUCUCCCUGAUAGGCUUUGGUAACUACCUUCAGGACCCCUCUGCCUACGGACCAUCGCGUCCUUCUCACAGUUAUGGUCAGGAUGAGCAGGGAGGAUAUAGUGCAGGUAGGUGCCAGCAUUGUCUUCUCAACCACAAAAGUAGCAUUUGUUCAGUAAUGUAGUGUUUAUAGAGCUGCAACCUGGUUCUUUUCCUCUGUGCUUUGUAUUUGCAUGUAAAUAUUGCAUGUACAUACAAAUGACUGUGUGUACUCUUGUACAGUAAAACUCAGCCACGACUGAGAGGAUUUAAUACAUUUACUUUGAAAUUUGUCAUGCAGAGCUCUAAGCAGUCAUCUCCCUCGGUCGCUGUAGCUUUACUAUACCAAGACAACCCAUGUCCUCCUUUUUUGUCCACUCUCUCUGUCCGCAUUGCUUUGCAGAUUAUAGAAGGAUGAUCUAAUUGUCAGAAACGUUGUUCAUGGUUCAGUUGUCUCUAUGCAUCAGCAGUCCAUUCACCCAUUGUCUUUUUCCCAUGUACUGUCUCCACAUUAUAGCUGAAGGGAUGAGAAAGGAAAGAAGAUUUAAAGAAGGAGACGAUGGCAGUAAAUUUCCAAUUUCACUUGUCUCUUCUCUUCUGUCGGGUGGUCCUGUUGGGUCUGCUCCCUCUUAUUUUUGUUCUGUUCAUGGAGCACUUUGAACACCCCAAAAGAAAUGGGUACGGACAGGAACUGACAGCCUUCAGUCACAGCUUCGCAGACCCCAGCCAGCCGACGGCUUCGUACGGGGCCCCGACAGCACAGCCCACCGGCGUCCCCCAGACUGCUG